GCGCCCGUGGCUCAACUGGACAGAGCAGCUGACUACGGAUCAGCAGGUUGGGGGUUCGAAUCCCUCCGGGCGUA
rnacentral:tRNA from 1 species